rnacentral:rRNA from 1 species
CAGCAGCCGCGGUAAUACGUAGGGUGCAAGCGUUAAUCGGAAUUACUGGGCGUAAAGCGUGCGCAGGCGGUUAUAUAAGACAGAUGUAAAAUCCCCGGGCUCAACCUGGGAACUGCAUUUGUGACUGUAUAGCUAGAGUACGGCAGAGGGGGAUGGAAUUCCGCGUGUAGCAGUGAAAUGCGUAGAUAUGCGGAGGAACACCGAUGGCGAAGGCAAUCCCCUGGGCCUGUACUGACGCUCAUGCACGAAAGCGUGGGGAGCAAACAGGAUUAGAUACCCCGGUAGUCCCUGUCUCUUAUAC